ACGGACGAGGGUGACUACAGCAUCAAGCUGCGUAACCUGAUCAAGUUCCUGGAAGAGGGUGACAAGACCAAGAUCACCCUCCGUUUCCGCGGCCGUGAAAUGGCUCACCAGGACAUCGGUAUGCGCAUGCUGGAGCGUCUGCGUGGCGACCUGGAGCCGUAUGGCCAGGUCGAGCAGUUUCCGAAGCUGGAAGGCCGCCAGAUGAUCAUGGUGGUCGCGCCCAAGAAGAAGAAGUAAUUCUUCGUCGCUUCGCCGCGGGUUCGUAUCUCGCAGUGACAGUCUA
rnacentral:misc_RNA from 1 species